AGCGAAUCGACGUUUCUAGAACUAUGCGCUUGUCGCUACAUUGUAUAUAUUUCGCCAGUCCUGUAAGACGAUCUGUUUGCGACACUGUAGUGCCAUGAGCGACGGUUAGGAAUACGGCCUAUGGAAUACCUUUUCCAUUUGGAAAGGUGCAAACGAGUGCAGCUUGGAAACAGCGUGAGGAAGAAGGUGGAUCGCAAACCCCGUUGGCAAAAAGAAUCAUUCAUUUCCCGAGUUAUAAAGUUUAAGGUUUCAAGGCUUAAUUAAAGUCUACAGGGCAAGUUUCGACGAAAAUCUCUUCGAAAAGAAAUAUUCUCUUCGCCGACUCCUCCGUACAGUAAGAAAUUCGUUCAACAAGUGGAAUCGUAAAACUGUCAAAUAUAUUUCCACGAAUUUUACUUGUGAAAUUACCGCUUUUGUUUGUGCAAGAUAAUCAAGAGAAUAUAUCGAUUUAUAAGAAGCUCUAACUCGGAUAUUAACUGUCAU
rnacentral:misc_RNA from 1 species